rnacentral:misc_RNA from 1 species
GAAAUGCGAUAAGUAAUGUGAAUUGCAGAAUUCAGUGAAUCAUCGAAUCUUUGAACGCACCUUGCGCUCCUUGGUAUUCCGAGGAGCAUGCCUGUUUGAGUGUCAUUAAAUUCUCAACCUCACCAAUUUUUGUAAUGAAAGUUGUGUGAAGGCUUGGAUGUGGGGGUUUGCAGGUCCGCUUCUUGGUGGUCUGCUCCUCUGACAUGCAUUAGUGGGUUGUGCACUUAAUCUAGUGGUGUGAUAAUUAUCUACGCCGUGGAUCAGGUUGGCUACUAUAGACCUGCUGCUAACCGUCCGUCUCGGACAACUUUGACAUUUUUUACUUCGAAUCAAGUAAGACUACCCGCUGAACUUAA